rnacentral:rRNA from 1 species
GGAGCGGCAGACGGGUGAGUAACGCGUGGGAAUCUACCCUUUUCUACGGAAUAACGCAUGGAAACGUGUGCUAAUACCGUAUGAGCCCUUCGGGGGAAAGAUUUAUCGGGAAAGGAUGAGCCCGCGUUGGAUUAGCUAGUUGGUGGGGUAAAGGCCUACCAAGGCGACGAUCCAUAGCUGGUCUGAGAGGAUGAUCAGCCACAUUGGGACUGAGACACGGCCCAAACUCCUACGGGAGGCAGCAGUGGGGAAUAUUGGACAAUGGGCGCAAGCCUGAUCCAGCCAUGCCGCGUGAGUGAUGAAGGCCCUAGGGUUGUAAAGCUCUUUCACCGGUGAAGAUAAUGACGGUAACCGGAGAAGAAGCCCCGGCUAACUUCGUGCCAGCAGCCGCGGUAAUACGAAGGGGGCUAGCGUUGUUCGGAAUUACUGGGCGUAAAGCGCACGUAGGCGGACAUUUAAGUCAGGGGUGAAAUCCCAGAGCUCAACUCUGGAACUGCCUUUGAUACUGGGUGUCUAGAGUAUGGAAGAGGUGAGUGGAAUUCCGAGUGUAGAGGUGAAAUUCGUAGAUAUUCGGAG